rnacentral:rRNA from 1 species
GCCUUACACAUGCAAGUCGAACGGUAACAGGUCUUCGGAUGCUGACGAGUGGCGAACGGGUGAGUAAUACAUCGGAACGUGCCCAGUAAUGGGGGAUAGCUCGGCGAAAGCCGGAUCAAUACCGCAUACGCCCUGAGGGGGAAAGUGGGGGAUCGCAAGACCUCACGUUAUUGGAGCGGCCGAUGGCUGAUUAGCUAGUUGGUAGGGUAAAGGCCUACCAAGGCGACGAUCAGUAGCUGGUCUGAGAGGACGAUCAGCCACACUGGGACUGAGACACGGCCCAGACUCCUACGGGAGGCAGCAGUGGGGAAUUUUGGACAAUGGGGGAAACCCUGAUCCAGCAAUGCCGCGUGUGCGAAGAAGGCCUUCGGGUUGUAAAGCACUUUUGUCAGGGAAGAAAUCCUUUGGGCUAAUACCCUAGGGGGAUGACGGUACCUGAAGAAUAAGCACCGGCUAACUACGUGCCAGCAGCCGCGGUAAUACGUAGGGUGCAAGCGUUAAUCGGAAUUACUGGGCGUAAAGCGUGCGCAGGCGGUUGUGUAAGACAGGUGUGAAAUCCCCGGGCUUAACCUGGGAAUUGCAUUUGUGACUGCACGACUAGAGUGUGUCAGAGGGGGGUGGAAUUCCACGUGUAGCAGUGAAAUGCGUAGAUAUGUGGAGGAACACCAAUGGC